UACGGAGGGGGCUAGCGUUGUUCGGAAUUACUGGGCGUAAAGCGCACGUAGGCGGCUCGUAUAGUUAGGUGUGAAAGGCCUGGGCUUAACCUGGGAACUGCACUUAAUACUGACGAGCUAGAGUCCGGAAGGGGGUGGCGGAAUUCCUGGUGUAGCGGUGGAAUGUGCAGAUAUCAGGAGGAACACCGAUGGCGAAGGCGGCCACCUGGUCCGGAACUGACGCUGAGGUG
rnacentral:rRNA from 1 species